UUUUAUUAUUAUUAUUAUUAUUAUUAUUAUUAUUAUUAUUAUUAUUAUUAUUAAAACAUUUGGAGUGGUAUCCCUACAAGCUAUCAAACAAGAACAGGUUAGAGGAAGAACACAGGCAGCACAGGAAGAAGACAGGUAAUUUGGGGGCUAAAAUAGUCUUAGAAGAAACAUUGGUUUUUAUGUAUAAGAUUAGACUUCUGUUUAAACAGCUGCAGUAUGUUCACUUUGCCCUUUGGGCCGCUGAGUUCUAUCUAGUAUCAAACGACCUUUACAAAAAUCCAGAAGUGGUUUAAAAUAAACUCUAAGUUUAAAAUCUUGCACAAAAAUUCUGGGAGGGAGAGUGCCUCAGUCUUUGUAAUAAUGUUUCUGCUCUAAGCACCCAGAGCAGGUCAGACGUGCAGGCUCUAGAAUCUGAAGUUUUGCCGAAUGCUGGUGAAAGUACAGGGGCCUUCAAUCAGAUCUAAGGGCCUUCGUUCGUUAAAAACAAGCAAACAACAAAACAAAACAAAACAAAGCAAACAGUAUUUGAAUACAACUGUUAAGUUCAGUUCAGUGAUUUUUGUCUCACAGUGUGAUUCCUGUAACAUGAGCUCUUCAGAAACUGUGAAUUUUAUUUUUGUUGCUUUUUAGCACUUACACCUUACAAUGCUUGGUUUUGUGGUUUAAGAUUAUUUUAAUUUUUGCAUUUCACAUUCCUUUGGCCACUUUUGAAAAAAGGGAAUGUCCUUUUACGUCUUUUAUGUUUGAGAAUGAAGCGGUAACUCUCCCACUUCUGUCUUUUUAGCUUUAAAUGUUUGGCUUUAUGAAAUAAACGAUUCUCCCCGGAUUCCCGCAUCAUUCAAUGAGACAAGUGGAAAUUUGCUAUUACAAGCGGUCCACCCCAACCCUUCUUAGAUGCUACUGUCCCUGGUUUCAGAUUUAUGCUGUUUGUAGACUGCCAUAACUGGGUCUGGUGGAUCCUCUCGGAAGAAGAGCACAACUGGGUUUUUUCGAGCCCACAUGACCACUUCCCCUCCUGACCCACUAGCGGGGUUGGAAGAAGGCAUCCUGCUGCAAGCCCCAAGCCUGUUGGCACAGCCAUUUCGAAGGCGAUUGCGACUUCUGGCCUGAAAACCUAGGCCUUGGCUAGGCAAAAAAACAUCCAUGUUUCUAGUCCUAUAUCCCUCUUCGCGGUUGCGACCUAGGAACAUAGAAAUGUUAGGGUUGCGGAUGGCAUAUAUGACCGGGUUGAUAGCUCCAUUGGCCCAGGUCAGCCAAACAGCUGCCACAUUGAGCAGCGAGGGAGCCUGUGUGGUCUGACCCUGCCGGGUAGCAGCCAACAACACCAGGAAGCAGUAGGGGCCCCAGCAGCAGAUGACAAAGACAAUCAUGAUGAGCACGGUGGUGGCCGUGCGCACCUCGCUGAAAAAGCGCAGCACGCGCGCAUAGGUGGUCAUCGGCCGCACACGCACGUCCGACAGGCGCACAGUCUUGCAGAUGUGGUAGCGGCAGAAACACAUCAGCAGGAAGGGCAGCAGGUAGCAAGCCACCACCAGCCCCACGCUGUAAGCGGCGCCCAGCUGCGCAGGGUCUGGGGAGGUUCUGUAAAGGCAGCGGUGGAAGCUCUGCGGAGUCGGGGGCUCCCGGGGUGCCCGGAGCAGCUCCCAGGGCAGGGAGAAGCCGAGCGCAGCCAGCCACGCUCCGGCCAGCAGCUGCAGCGCGCGCCGCCGGCCUAGCUUGUCCCGCGGCGGCCGCACGAUGGCGCAGUAGCGGUCCAGCGAGAUGAGCGCCACGCUGAACGUGGAGACGAUGCCGAAACACGAACUGAAGAAGCGGCUGGCGGCGCAGAAGCUGCGCCAGGGCCCCGAGUCUCCCGGCGGCGCAAACAGGUCGAGGAAGGCGGCGGGUAAGCAGAGCAGCGCAGUGAGCAGGUCCGACAGGGACAGCGAUAGGAUGAAGGCGUUGGUGACCGUGCGCAGCUGCCGGUGCUUCACGAUCACCCCCAUCACCGCGCAGUUUCCCAGGCUAGACAGUAAGAAGAUGAGCAGGAGCACGAGCGCCUGGGCGGCCACUGCUGCCCCGUGCCAAAGCAGCGGUGCCGGUCCCCGAGACCCAGCCGCCUCCGGCCUGCCCGCAUCGCUCUGGUUUCCCAGCGUUACGGUGGCUACGGAGCUGAACGACAGCGCGGCCGCGGUGGCCGUGGAAGCCGCCCCUCCGGGAUGUGCGCUACCCGGCAAGGUUGCACUCGCAGCCGGGCGGCUCGGCGGCCGCGCCUGCUCCUCCAUAGGUUCCCGGGCAGGCCGCCGCUCUGCUCAUCCCGCAGCAGGGUGAAAGGUUGUGCUGACCAGAACAGCAGCCGCGGGGAGUGGGUGGGACUCGGUCACCACCCGGGACUGGUGGAACCUUGACGUGGGUUCCAGGCGUUGCCGAGGGAACCGCCUAUUUACGCAGGAGCGCGGGGCGGGACGCUAGCCUGGUACCCCAGAAAAGCCGGCCUACAUCAUCCCCUCUUCCUGCUGGAGACUUCUUGCUGACGCUCAACAUUCCUGAGGUUGGGCUCCCGGCUUAAGCCUGAUUCUGAACAGGUGUUCUCAUUGACUGCCAUGCGGAUCUAGGAGGGAAGAUGUCAUCUACUGUUCAAGGGCCCGGACGUCUGGAUGAGCUGGGGACCGAACCCAGGGCCUUGUGCUUGCUAGGCAAGCGCUCUACCACUGAGCUAAAUCCCCAACCGUUGCUAGAGUAUUUAAUAAAGACUUUUUAAGCCAAACCACAUGGACUAUUGGGGGAGGGAGGGAUCAGAGGAGAAGACAGAAGACAAGAUACAGUGAAUGCAAACAUGAGUGCAAGAGGUUAAUGCUGAAGUUGACAGUGUCUGAAUUCUAGGCUACAAGCAGGCGGUGCGGGAGGUUGUAAAAGGGAAAUGUGUACGGUUUUCAUGGGACAGCAUUUGUGUGCUGUACUUUGUGGAGACUGGAUGUUAUGGAGGCAUGGUGGUUUGGAUACGCUUGGCCAGAGAAUGGCAGUGUUUGGAGGUGUGGUCUUGUUGGAGGAACUGUGUCACUAUGGGUGUUGGCUUUAAGACCCUCAGCCUAGCUGCCUAGAAGUAGUCUUCUCCUAGUGACCUUCAGAUGAAGGUGUAGAACUCUCAGCUCCUCCUGCACCAUGCCUGCCUGGAUGCUGCCAUGACCCCACCUUGAUGAAAAUGGACUAAACCUCUGAACUUGUAAGCCAGCCCCAAUUAAAUGUUGUCCUUAUAAGAGUUGCCUUGGUCAUGGUGUCUGUUCACAGCAGUAAAACCUUAACUAGGAGAGGAGGUGUAAUGAAACUAGCAGUUGACCUUUACCAAACAAGGCCCACAGUCAGGGACAUGGUUCAAACAAGCAAGAGGGACCUCACACCAUCCCGGUUCACUUCUUUCCUUGUCUGCACCAGUGUCUUCUCUGCCAGUUUAUCUUUUUCCUGUUGGAAUCUAGUUCUCUACCCCUCUGAACAUCCUUAUUCCCCUUCAGAGACUCUCUAUUCUAACCCUAUACUGUUUCCAUAAGUAUGAAUGGGGUAACUUGGGGACAGGGCAGUGAAUGAAAAAGAAGAGAGUGGUGUAUAGAAUGUCAGAGGUAGCUAAAGUCAAGGAGUCAUUAAAGGGGCAAAGCAAGGCAGGUAGGUGAUCUAGUUAGUAAGGCACAAUGGUAAACCUUCUGGUCUCAUCUCAGUUUGACCCUUGCUUGUGAAGGCCAGCUCCACCCUUUACCUAAAAGGCAGCCUUUCUGAGUAUUUUAGGGUGAGGAGAAGUUUCUCAGUAAGGGUCCACUCACUUGUCAAACCUAAGCCCCUAAACCUAAGGGGAG
ensembl:lncRNA